UACGUAGGGACCAAGCGUUAUUCGGAUUCACUGGGCGUAAAGGGUGCGCAGGCGGUUGUGUGUGUCAGGGGUGAAAGCCCGGGGCUUAACCCCGGAAUUGCGCCUGAAACUACAUGACUAGAGCAUUGGAGAGGGUAGCGGAAUUCACGGUGUAGCAGUGAAAUGCGUAGAUAUCGUGAGGAACACCAGAGGCGAAGGCGGCUACCUGGACAAUUGCUGACGCUCAGGCACGAAAGCGUGGGGAGCAAAAGGG
rnacentral:rRNA from 1 species